UGAGGAAUUUUGGACAAUGGGGGAAACCCUGAUCCAGGGAUACCGUGUGAGUGAAGAAGGUCUUCGGAUUGUAAAGCUCUUUUGGUGGGGAAGAUAAUGACGUUACCCACAGAAAAAGUGGCGGCAAACUCUGUGCCAGCAGUCGCGGUAAUACAGAGGCCACGAGCGUUGUUCGGAAUUACUGGGCGUAAAGGAUGCGUAGGCUGUUUUGUAAGUCUUUCAUGAAAUACCGGAGCUUAACUUCGGUGCUGUGAUAGAUACUGCAUAACUUGAGAUCGGGAGAGGUAAAUGGAAUUCCUAGUGUAGAGGUCAAAUUCGUAGAUACUAGGAGGAACACCAGAGGCGAAAGCGAUUUACUGGAACGAUUCUGACGCUGAGGCAUGAAAGCGUGGGGAGCAAA
rnacentral:rRNA from 1 species